GCGAGAAGUUGGAUAUCAUUCCAGCAGUUCAAGUCGGUGGCCAUACGUUGACCUGCUCAGCCCUUUUAUGUUUUCUGCAAAUGGCUAGGUAUGCUUGCUCGAUCAAAUUCGACAAAGGUGUAGGUGUGUUCUACUACCUGUUCAUCCUCAUGCUUGAGCUUCCAGCAUCCACUGCGCAUGGCAAGUAGGGAUGUACAGCACACAGCACAAUGAGUUCACCUCCAUGGAAGGCUGGAACAUUGUGUUUUAGUGGCUUUUUGUCCUUUUGGACGGAAACAACGAGGAUUUGACCUGAUUGGGUUGGCGUGGCAAUCGUAUUAGGAGGU
rnacentral:sRNA from 1 species